UACGUAGGGGGCUAGCGUUGUCCGGAUUUAUUGGGCGUAAAGAGCGUGUAGGCGGCCAGGUAGGUCUGCUGUGAAAACUCGAGGCUCAACCUCGGAGACGUCGGCGGAAACCAUUGUGCGAGACGCGAAGAGGAGAGUGGAAUUCCCGUGGUGUAGCGGUGAAUGCGCAGAUAUCGAGAGACACUGCGAAGGCAGCUCGUGGACGGUAUGGACGCUAGGCGCGAA
rnacentral:rRNA from 1 species